rnacentral:rRNA from 1 species
CCCUUAGAUGUUCUGGGCCGCACGCGCGCUACACUGAUGCAUUCAACGAGCCUAGCCUUGACCGAGAGGUCCGGGUAAUCUUUGAAACUGCAUCGUGAUGGGGCUAGAUUAUUGCAAUUAUUAAUCUUCAACGAGGAAUGCCUAGUAAGCGUGAUUCAUCAAAUCGCGUUGAUUACGACCCUGCCCUUUGUACACACCGCCCGUCGCUCCUACCGAUUGAGUGUGUUGGUGAGGAGUUUGGAUUGGCCUCGGAAGGUGGUUCGCCACCGCCCGUAGCUGAGAAGUUCUCCAAACCGCCCCACUUAGAGGAAGGAGAAGUCGUAACA